ensembl:lncRNA
GAGAAUUUUCAGUUUGAUGAAACUAGUAUUGUCUAUGGAGAAUUUCAAUCGCAGACAGUCUAAGUCUGUGAUGUUAGUACCUUCCAGCUUUAAUCUUUUUUAUAAAAUAGAACACUGCUAGAGGGAAGCCAAAGGUACUCAAGGAAUAACAGCUGCUGGGAAGCCAGGCUACUUUCUGGAAGCAUGGAAAACUGACAGAAACAUAAGGAGCAAGACUUUGAAGCUGGCAUUUUAACCCCAGGAUUGUACUUACCUUUUGAAAAGCUGCGUCUGGCAUUCAAGAUUUAUCUCUGUUCCAAGCAGUACAUGUAACAACCUAAAAUAAGAAACCUAGCAGCUGGAGCCCCUUACCCUGGGCAACCUUUGACAUGUGGAAGUUUGAACCCAAUGCUUCUCCAUGAGGAACGUGGAGGAGAAACGUAGAGGAGAAACGUGGAGGAGAAUGUGGAGGAGAAACCUGCCUGCACAGAACUCGGGAGAGAGUAUUUGAUGCAGGAUUCUUCCUGGUAAAGCAAGGGAAACAGAAUAUCUAGGUCAUAAUGGAAAAGAACUUGAAUGAAUACGUCUACCAGUGAUCUGUGUCGUCCUACUAUUGAUGAACUGUUAUGAAGACAUGCAAAGUUCCUAUAUUCUUUUCAUAGUACUUCAGCAGCUUAUCUAUAUGGAUUCCUUCAGGGUAGGUCAGUGGAGUGGGAA